AAAAAAAAACUAAAUCCUUCCCCUCCUUCCACGAAAACUUCCCCCCUUACUCCGGCCCGAGGUUCCGGCGGGCGGCGGCGGCGGUCGGAGGUGCAAAAUCGGGUCUUUUUAGCCCCAUUUGAAGCCGAUCAUUCCUUGGAACCCGGAUUCGAGGUUGGGUUCGUUAAAAAAUGGGCCAAAACCGAAGGGAAAAGGAGGAAACCGUUCGCUUUCCCCUUUCUCCGGCGCGGCGCAGGUGGCGCAGAGAGCAGGCGCGGCACCGGUCAGAGGGCAGGUGGACGAAGGCCUUAGGUGCGGCGCACCUAGGGUUAGGGUCUUUUUUCUGAUUAUUCUAUUGUAAUUGGGCUUGGGUUAUAAUUGGGCCUGGGUUUUUUGUAGUGGGUUAUUUGGGCAGUCUAGGCUUGUUUGGGGUUUAGUUUGUAAUGGGCCUCGGGUAUUGGGCCAUUUGGGCCCGGGCAAAAUUGGGUUGUACAAUGAGCACAUUGAUGCAUCAUGGAGAAUAGAACAAGAUAUGUGUAUAUGACCAUAAACUGUAAACAUAUACUUGGCACAAAUAUUUAAAGAUGUAACAAAGUUAUGGUUAACACGAUGCUUAUAUA